GGAGCCGUCAUUAGGGUUCCAAUGAAUUUUGUUUCAAUUUUUCGAUGUUCUGAAUAUCAUUCUCUCAACAAUUAGGCGAAAGAUUGAUUUUCAUAUGAUUAGUAGUUUUCUUUCUGUUUUCCGCGAAUGUUUUUCCGAGAAAAUUGAAUCGGGAAAGAGGCAAAAAACAGGGGAGAGAUUUUGAUAAAUAGCUCUGAAAUACCUGUAGGUUUUCUACGGGGUGCCCUUGCUCUUCUUUCCCUAAUACCAAAAUGGCUUCAUAGUACGGGUUUCUUUGUGCUUUCUCUGUGUUUUGUGUAUUUUUUAUACUCAAAUCACUUUGAAUCUCAUUCACAAUCCCGCCUCCAAUCGCCAUUACAUGUUUUUAAAAAUUCUUUAGUUUAUGCUUCAAAUCUCCUUAUUCUUACCAAAACAGUUUAUCUGAAUCAAUCCUUAAGUGUAUACUGUAUGCUAACUUUUUUGAGAAAGUUUAAGACUUCAGGAACAGGCAAAUGAUAAACUAAGUAGCAAAAGUUACCAAUUCGUACUAAAAUGAACUUGUGAACAUGACGUAACAAAUCUAAAUCCAGAGUACAAUUAGAAUCUGAAUUGAAUCUUACAGAACUAAGUACAAGUACACAAUAUUUAGAUUGAAUGGUAUAAGCUCGACGAAGUUGUCUGCUUCACAUCUUUACCACCGAACAAUCCUUUCCCCAAAACCCAACCUUCAAUCAUAUCCCUUGAAUUCACAGCUUUAUCUGUCGGAACAAAAUGACCAGCUCCUGUAACCGCCACGUGGCACAAAUUCCCCCAUCUCUGAACAUAACCAGCGACCACACCGUCUUCAUCCUUCCACACACGCCUCUCCGCCGUCGAGAACAUUCCCAAUCCUGACCAGUUCAUAGUCUUCAUCCACUCCUCCGUCGAAACGACGCCGUCUCUUAGAUCAAGCAUACCUUGAUACAGCAAGACUUGAGUCCUCUCCAAUGCGUACUCCACCAUGAACUUUACGCUCUUCAUCACGUCUGCCCGCAACACAUCUUCUACUUCAUCACUACAUUCCUCAAAACGAACCGUUUCACUCACUCCCAAAACACGUUUUGCUUCUCUCUGGUUCAAGAGGUCCACCACGAGGUCUGUUCUGUAUGGAAUCGCCCGUGCCGUGUUGUAGAGCGUCGCGAGUCCUGUCAUGUUACUUAGUAGCGUCAACAGUUCGGUCCUCGCGUCUGCUGCUUCACGCCAUUUCUGGGACUUCACGAGAGCUACAGAUAUCUCCUGCGCUUUUUGCAGUUCAACUCUCUGUUUUGCGUUGACCAGACCCGAGUAGUAGACGUUGACCGCAUGGGUUUGAACCUGGGUCACCGGGUCGGUCAGCCCGUUUCCAAUGGCUAGCCCCUUUAGAUUCACUUUCCCAUUGGGUUUCUCUUUAAGGAUAUAGUAUCCAAUGGCUGGAACGUACUUCCCGGCGUAGCUCUCUCCAGUGAAGUAAACCGGUCGGUUUUCGAAGCUUGGGUUUUGUUCAAGGAACUCCACGAGAGCGGCGUAAAGAUGCUCAGCGACCUGUCUCUGAUUUGUGGGUAUGUCUUGUUGUGAGGCUGCGAUGCUGAAUCCGACUCCUAUUGGGUUAUCCACAAAAAGUAGUCCGAAUAGACGGUUCCAUGCGCCGGGGUUGCGCUCGAGGUCUGUGGCGCGUGAAACUACACGCCAGGGACCGAGCUCGUAAAAGUUGCCAAUCAUUGAAGAGCAGCCUGGCCCACCUUGGAGCCAAACGAGGAGCGGAGUGUCAGGAAGAGGUGUGGUUGGCUCUUGGGCUUCGUAGAAGGCAUAGAACAUGGACGAGCCGGGUGCGGGUUUAACCGGGAGGUAGCCAGAUUUAGUGGGGAGAGCUUCAUCGGGAAAUAGCGGUGGCUGAGGAGACUCAACGGAGACGGCGAGGAGGAGAGUGGAAAGCAAUAUGAAGAGUGUAGUGGCUUGCUCCAUUAUUUCCACUAAUUGGUGACGCCUUUACAUAAAGAUCCCUUUGUAUUAUUUCAUUUAUUUCAUUAUUUGACUGCAAAACAUUACGUUUAUGUUUUGU